GGGAAUGUAGCUCAGUGGUAGAGUGUUUGCCUAGAACACAUGAGGGCCUGGGUUCAAUUUCCAGCACUGCAA
rnacentral:tRNA from 1 species